rnacentral:rRNA from 1 species
CAUACGUCCUGAGGGAGAAAGCGGGGGAUCGCAAGACCUCGCGCGAUUGGAGCGGCCGAUAUCAGAUUAGGUAGUUGGUGGGGUAAAGGCUCACCAAGCCAACGAUCUGUAGCUGGUCUUGAGAGGACGACCAGCCACACUGGAACUGAGACACGGUCCAGACUCCUACGGGAGGCAGCAGUGGGGAAUUUUGGACAAUGGACGCAAGUCUGAUCCAGCCAUUCCGCGUGCAGGAUGAAGGCCCUCGGGUUGUAAACUGCUUUUGUACGGAACGAAAAGGUUUCUAUUAAUACUAGGAGCUCAUGACGGUACCGUAAGAAUAAGCACCGGCUAACUACGUG